rnacentral:rRNA from 1 species
GCUCAGAUUGAACGCUGGCGGCAGGCCUAACACAUGCAAGUCGAGCGGUAGAGAGAAGCUUGCUUCUCUUGAGAGCGGCGGACGGGUGAGUAAUGCCUAGGAAUCUGCCUGGUAGUGGGGGAUAACGUUCGGAAACGGACGCUAAUACCGCAUACGUCCUACGGGAGAAAGCAGGGGACCUUCGGGCCUUGCGCUAUCAGAUGAGCCUAGGUCGGAUUAGCUAGUUGGUGAGGUAAUGGCUCACCAAGGCGACGAUCCGUAACUGGUCUGAGAGGAUGAUCAGUCACACUGGAACUGAGACACGGUCCAGACUCCUACGGGAGGCAGCAGUGGGGAAUAUUGGACAAUGGGCGAAAGCCUGAUCCAGCCAUGCCGCGUGUGUGAAGAAGGUCUUCGGAUUGUAAAGCACUUUAAGUUGGGAGGAAGGGUUGUAGAUUAAUACUCUGCAAUUUUGACGUUACCGACAGAAUAAGCACCGGCUAACUCUGUGCCAGCAGCCGCGGUAAUACAGAGGGUGCAAGCGUUAAUCGGAAUUACUGGGCGUAAAGCGCGCGUAGGUGGUUUGUUAAGUUGGAUGUGAAAUCCCCGGGCUCAACCUGGGAACUGCAUUCAAAACUGACUGACUAGAGUAUGGUAGAGGGUGGUGGAAUUUCCUGUGUAGCGGUGAAAUGCGUAGAUAUAGGAAGGAACACCAGUGGCGAAGGCGACCACCUGGACUAAUACUGACACUGAGGUGCGAAAGCGUGGGGAGCAAACAGGAUUAGAUACCCUGGUAGUCCACGCCGUAAACGAUGUCAACUAGCCGUUGGAAGCCUUGAGCUUUUAGUGGCGCAGCUAACGCAUUAAGUGACCGC